rnacentral:tRNA from 1 species
GUGCCCGUAGCUCAGCUGGAUAGAGUGUUUGACUACGAAUCAAAAGGUCGGGAGUUCGAAUCUCUCCGGGCACGCCA